UCCACAAAUAAACAUUGCCGCUUCCAGUCCGCGAUGGGAGAAGAAUUAGGCACAAACAAUUCAGCUGCAAGAGAUUGGGAGCAGGGGACAACAGUCGAAAAG